rnacentral:rRNA from 1 species
AGCGAACGCUGGCGGCGUACUUAACACAUGCAAGUCGAGCGAGGGUCAUGGUGUGAGCAAUCAUGUCGUGACUCUAGCGGCGGACGGGUGAGUAACACGUGGGUAACCUGCCCUCGAGUCCGGGACACCCCCUCGAAAGGGGGGCUAAUACUGGAUACGUUCCUCGGGUCGCAAGAUCUGGGGAGGAAAGGUAGCUCGCAAGGGCUGCCGCUCGUGGAGGGGCUCGCGGCCUANCAGCUAGUUGGUGGGGUAACGGCCUACCAAGGCGAUGACGGGUAGCUGGUCUGAGAGGACGACCAGCCACACGGGGACUGAGACACGGCCCCGACUCCUACGGGAGGCAGCAGUGGGGAAUCUUCCGCAAUGGGCGAAAGCCUGACGGAGUGACGCCGCGUGGGGGAUGAAGGCC